GCACGCCUACCCAUUAAAUCCACCGCAUACCACGCCGCAAGCCGCCGCCGCAAGUCGCCUGAGGGCCUCAUGCCGCCGCCGCCGCUCGCCCCUUUCUCUGUAGGUCGCCCACGCAAUCCUCGGCCCCAGGGUCGUUCCCUCCUCCCCACCAGGCUCGAGGAGGCCCGAGGAGGCGGCCAUGAGGAGCGCGCAGCCGCCGGAGUCCUGGGCAGAUCUAGCCGGGGCCGUCUGCAGCCAUCCCUUCCUCCGGGCGGCCAUGAAGAAUUGAAGCGGCUUGAGCAGAACUAGCGCAUGGACCAUGCGCGCCUCCCGCGGUAGAAGCCACUGGUCCUCGUCAUCUGCUGUCAUCCACGAGGAAUCCAUCCAUAUAUCCAAAAGAAGGAUAAGUGAGUUGCAGAUGAGUUCUCCAGUUGGAUGAAGCAUAUAAAACUAGAAGAUUUUACUUAGCAAUAACCAUAGUUUACAUUGAUAGAUUGAAAAAUGUAAUGCCAUUCACAAGACCUUUUUCUUUGGUCGAAUUGAUGUAAAUGCUAUGGUGUAAUAUUCUUCAUAGGUGUGUUCUCUAUAGUCAAAUUGAUAUGAAUGAUAUGUUGUUGCACCAAUAACAUCAGUAUUUAUUUAUUAUAAUGCAUAUGUAUCCCACACUCUUGUAUAUUCAUAAUAAAUACCUUUGAUA